rnacentral:tRNA from 1 species
GCCAGUGUGACAUAGUGGUUUGAGUGUUGAAGUGUGAUUCUUGAGACCAGGGUUCGAUUCCCUGCUCGGCCA